ACGUGCGCAGGCGCACUGCCUUCCUCCCUGCCCCCGCUAACCGCCGGGGCCCCACGCGCCCCUUGCAGCGCAGCCCCAGUGCGGGAGGAGGGUCCCACGCUCUGCUAGGAACCCUGCGGGCCUGGCUGCCUGACAGAGCUUGCGGCUUGGCUGGCACUGAACAUACGCAGUAACGUCCGCUGAGACCGCUAGCCUCGAAUGUUUCUGCCCUAAUAUCCUGGCAUGGCGGAUGAGACCAUAAUGGGUAACGUGACAGAAAACGUGCAGCUGGUAGUUUAAAAAGGUCAUUGUGCAGCAGCAAGCUUGAGUCGGUCUGUACUUUCUCCAGUAACCUGCCAAUGUCAACCUCUCGUCUGAUAUGAGGAGCAAUAUUGCUCAGAACUGGAAGCCAUCGGAUUGGAGUCAGACGCAGGGUGCCAGAGGUGGUACGCAUGAUGGCAUGUAACUGCAUAUCCACCAGUUUGGUGUGUGACGAUCAAUUCCAGUACUCCGCCGCUGAAUACGAGGUGGCCAGAGCUGAUGUCCGCAAAAUUGGAGCACGAGCGCUCCAUGACGAACCUGCCAGUUUGUUAAGAAGAUUGUUGCGCAUCUUAAUUUUAGCUGCUGUCUUCUUCAGGUGGGUAUGAUAACUCAGUGUGCGGUCUAAGGUCACACCUAGAUAGACCAGUUCUACUUCAUGCUUCACCUUCUGACCAUUCAGAUAAACAUUCAAUUCUUGGGUUGCGCUGGCGUGAUGAAGAUGGAACAAACUGGAGACUGUUUUUAUAACACUUGGCUGGAGGCCAAGUCUUACAGUAGUCAGCUAACUUUAUCAUGUCCCGGUUCAAGGUGGCACCAAGCUCGUGAAACGUCUGGGCCUGGGUACCACAACAUAUGUCGUCUGCGUAAAUGAACUUGCAUGAUUCUGUUGUUGGCAGGUCACUGAUGUAAAGGCUGGAGAAAGCACAGAGCCCUGGCGUAACCCAUUGCUCUGCCUUCUCCAAGCAUGCGUCUUCUCUGCCAUAUGGAUGGGAGGAGACAACCAAGAGGAUGGGCUUUACCCGCUCCAGCCGCAAGUGUUGGAGUCUGCUCUGACGCCUUGGAGCAGCGCAGCAGUCACCUGCAGGCUGCCAAGCCUCAGUGACACCCAACCAAGUAGCCGGACACCUACUUAAAGUGGCCAGAGCACCUUUGGAGAAACAGGUGCGAAGACAAAUGAGGAACGAAUGGCAUGUGUUUAAACGUCUACACCAGAUCAGAAGCUGCCCAGAACCAUUCACUGUAACGGAGCUGGAACAGACACUGGGUAGCAUCAAGUGUGGAACAGCUACGGGCUAUGACAACAUAUCUCCAGAAUUCCAGAAAAACCUUGGCCCCCAUGCUUGGUUUUGGCUUGUGAAAUUCUUCACCAGGGUCAUCAGUGAAGAUAGGCUACCAAAGAUAUGGUGCACUGCAAAAGUCAUUGGCCUCCUAAAGCCUGGAAAGAACCCAAAUCAAGCAUCAAGCUAUCGUCCCAUAUCAUUAUUGUCGAUGUGCUUCAAGACACUGGAGCACUUGGUCCUACAGCACAUAUUACCCGAUGUGGAGAGAAUUUUGAGCCCUGACCAAGCCGGUUUUCGCUAAGGCCAUAGCACAUGCGAACAAGUACUCGUGCUGACCACAUUUGUUGAAAAUGGCUUCCAGAUAAACUUCAAAACAGGCACUGUUUUCAUCAAUCUAACAGCAGCGUACAAUAUGGUAUGGCACACUGGCCUGCUUGUGAAGGUAUCACGGGUCCUGCUAUCUUGGCUCAUAGGCAUCCACAAUAAGCUCCCUCUGGUGCCAGGGGCUAAAGGGGCAAGCAGGGGGGAUGGGCACAGUCUGUGCAGGGGGAAAUGACAGACAGAUGUAGGCAGGGGCAGGAGAGGGACUGAGGGGUAAAAUCAGGGAGGGAGGGAGGGUAGGAGCCAGGUUUGAGGCACUGUCUGAGGGGGCAGAGGGGAAACCCCGCAUGGGGAGGGGCAGAGGGGGUAACAGUUUCCCCCAGGGCAGCGAGCCACCUGCAGUGUUUGCAAAACAGGCGGGUUGUAGCCCCUGUCACAGGGCUGUCCCGCUCAGCAUCUUUCUCCCAGGGCUGGAGUUUGUGCAACCCAGUGCCUACACGAGGCAGUCUACCCUAGCUGGUGUGAUGUAUGGAGCUGCUAAAGGAGCCUUGAGUCAGUGAAACAUUUUACACACAUCCCCAAAAAACUAUCUGCAUAUCCCACCAUUAAACAUCAUCACAGUUUCCUGUCAAUGGCCUGGACUUCCAAUUGAAAUAAAAAAAAAUCAGCAAACCAAAGUUCUCAUGUGCACAGACACAGCGUGAAGUGAUAGCUGCAAAUGUUUUUGCUCCAUGGGCAAAUGAUUAAUUAAUGAACUAUCUGAAAGAUGUUGAAUAUUUGUCACUGUGUGUUGAUGCAUCAAAUCACAGACCUGUGAAAUUGGUUCCUGGCUUGGUUUGCUAUUUCAAGGCUUAUGAAGGCAGUGUGUGUGGGCACACUAAAUUUGUGGAUUUUGUCAAACUUAAAAGGCGAGACCUCAGAACUCAUUGCAGCUGAAAUAAUAAGGUUGUGCCAUUCUCAGUAGAUAAUACAAACACGAACUUCAGCAGCCUCUACAGACAUGGAAGAGAACAUUUUCAUGCCAAAGUAAGAUGAGCAUAGGCCUUGGAUGCCCUGCUCAUGUCAUGCACAACUGUGCCUGAACUGCAAGGGAUAGAAUGCUCUCAACAUCUACUGCACUUAGUUGUAAUUAAGAUUUUUGGAUAUUUUCAUAUAUUUGCUGUUCACAUAGAAAGACAGAAAAGUUUUUGCGAAUACAUGGGACAAGUAUAUCAGAAUAUAGUGGGAGGCAGUAGUGUCAAAUGGCUGUUGAUGUUACCUGCUUUAGAGAGGAUCCUUCAACUUUGAGUCAUUAAAAAGUGCCCAGUAGUUCCUCACAAAAUAUUUGAACACCCAUGUACCAAACUCUGGCUUGCUUUUAUCUGUUGUGACAAAGUUCCUCCUCUGCCUUGGUGGGUCCUGCGCUUAUUGGCGGAUUCGCUUGCCUCAGAGAUUCACGGCAGCCCUCAGUUUGGCCACUUUUGCUAGUGGCUCAAACCUGCCGUUCACUCAGCUAACCUCAUCACUGGCCAGCAUGGGAAAAAGGAAGAAGAACAAUCCCCGCAGUCUCUGCUGAUCCACCAUGUGAGUUGGGGAACAGCCCAGAGACCUUCCCCUCUGGUGGAACCCACAGUGCAGGUCAACUCCUCCUGUGUCUGAUCAGAAGUUGGGAGGUUUGGGGGGAACCCAGGCCUGCCUUGUACUCCAGGUUCCAGCCCAGGGCCCUGUGGACUGCAGCUGUCUAGAGUGCCUCCUGGAACAGCUGCACAACAGCUACAACUCCCUGAGCUACUUCCCCAUGGCCUCCUCCCAACACCUUCUUUAUCCUCUCCACAGGAUCUUCCUCCUGGUGUCUGAUAAUCCUUGUAACUCCUCAGUCCUCCAGCAGCACAUCCUCUCACUCCCAGCUCCUUAUGCACACACACCACAAACUGAAGGGAGGUCCUUUUUAAACUCAGGUGCCCUGAUUAGCCAGCCUGUCCUAAUUAAUUCUAGCAACUUCUUAAUUGGCUUCAGGUGUCCUAAUUAGCCUGCCUGCCUGAAUUUCCUCCAGCAAGUUCCUUCUUGUUCUGGAAGUGCCUCUGUUACCUUACCCAGGAAAAAUGGACCUGCUUUUAAUCUGGGACUAAUAUAUCUGCCUUCUAAAUCAGUCGCCUGCGCCGAGAGUGCCCCUCUGAGGAAUGCGGGGCUGGAGUCUUCAUGGCCAGUCACUUUGACAGACAUUACUGUGGCAAGUGCUGCCUGACAUACUGCUUCAACAAACCAGAAGACAAGUAAAUGUAUCUGUGUUAAUAAAAAAACCCUCAGA